CUUCCCCCCAAAUAAGGGCAAAAGAAGGAGCAUUACAUCUGAAAUCACCCCCCAACACCAGCCCUGGUUACGUUUGCAAGAAGGAAUUUAUCAAUUUGAACUUUUUAAUUUUCCUGGAUCGUACAUUACAACCCCCCAAACGUCUAAAUUGCUAGGAGGGACCCAAAAGAAGAAAGUCUGAAAGUUGGGCAAGUGUCAAACUGUCAGCCUCUGACGUCAGCCACUCUCAG